rnacentral:tRNA from 2 species
GCCUCUUUAGCUCAGCUGGCUAGAGCAGCUGAUUUGUAAUCAGCAGGUCGUUGGUUCGAGUCCGACAAGAGGCU